GAUGAACGCUAGCUACAGGCUUAACACAUGCAAGUCGGGGGGCAGCAUGGGGGUUGUUUGCCACACCUGAUGGCGACCGGCGCACGGGUGAGUAACGCGUAUCCAACCUGCCCUUCACCACGGGAUAACCCGGCGAAAGUCGGACUAAUACUGUAUGUUUUCGUUUGACGGCAUCCGAUUGGGACGAAAGGAUGGGGGGUGGAAGGGGGGGGAUGGGUCCGAUUGGCUUGACGGGGGGGUAACGGCCCACCGUGGCUACGAUCGGUAGGGGUGCUGAGAGGAAGGUCCCCCACACUGGAACUGAGACACGGUCCAGACUCCUACGGGAGGCAGCAGUGAGGAAUAUUGGUCAAUGGGCGUAAGCCUGAACCAGCCAAGUAGCGUGCAGGAUGACGGCCCUAUGGGUUGUAAACUGCUUUUAUGCGGGGAUAAAGUGGCCCACGUGUGGGCUUUUGCAGGUACCGCAUGAAUAAGGACCGGCUAAUUCCGUG
rnacentral:rRNA from 1 species